rnacentral:rRNA from 1 species
GACGAACGCUGGCGGCGUGCUUAACGCAUGCAAGUCGAACGGAAAGGCCCUGCUUUUGUGGGGUGCUCGAGUGGCGAACGGGUGAGUAACACGUGAGUAACCUGCCCUUGACUUUGGGAUAACUUCAGGAAACUGGGGCUAAUACCGGAUAGGAGCUCCUGCUGCAUGGUGGGGGUUGGAAAGUUUCGGCGGUUGGGGAUGGACUCGCGGCUUAUCAGCUUGUUGGUGGGGUAGUGGCUUACCAAGGCUUUGACGGGUAGCCGGCCUGAGAGGGUGACCGGCCACAUUGGGACUGAGAUACGGCCCAGACUCCUACGGGAGGCAGCAGUGGGGAAUAUUGCACAAUGGGCGGAAGCCUGAUGCAGCAACGCCGCGUGCGGGAUGACGGCCUUCGGGUUGUAAACCGCUUUCGCCUGUGGCGAAGCGUGAGUGACGGUAAUGGGUAAAGAAGCACCGGCUAACUACGUG